rnacentral:lncRNA from 1 species
CUGAAGAGGAGACUUAUCUAAACAGGAUUAGCCGAGCCUGUAUGUGACUGAGGGAGUGUGAAAUGCUAGAAGGGUACCGCUGAUCACCUUUUCCAGCCCGAUUCUCCAGCAUUCACAAAAGAGGAUCUUCAGCUGUGUUCUAUGGACCCGGAGAGCCUGGCUUGUGGGCACCUCGUGCCUGGGAGGGGCCGGGAGCCUCCUCAUUAGCACCACGGUCAGCUCACGAGCCUGGAGCGGGUGGAGGGAGAGCUCGCAGCGCCAGCGCUGGAAGGAGGAAGCGCAAGAGCGAACAGGCGGGGGAGGAAAAGGAGAGGAAAGGAAGGAGGCCAGCGGCUCCUGGGCUAGUGCAAGGGAUCUGGAAGCAGUCAGAGCAGCAGGUCAGAGUGGGAACUGUUCACUUGCGCUGGGCAGACUCUAGCAGCUCGCCAGUCACUCUGGGCGGAUGCUGCUGGCGGAGACCGGAUGCCAGUUAGAAGAUAGUGUGAAGACUGAAGAUUUAUGUCAAAUACCAAUACAUUGUUUAAAAUGCAAUGGCCAGAAGACAAGGAAGUAUCACCCGAAAUAUGUGGACGUGGACUCCGGGACUGCUGCUGAUGACUGUGAUCUUUUGGGGUCAGCAAGGGAAUGGACAAAGCCAAGGUAUGUGGAAGCGUGCUCUGAUACUCUGAAACCUCUUUAUGAGUUCCCUUUUGGAAUGAAAUUAUGCUGGCUUUGACUUGAUGCGUUAGUCAGUUUGUUAUCAUCCUACCCUGAGUUUUUUGUCAUCAUCUGCUGUAAUAAUUUUGAAACAGUUGAACCAGAAAUAGGUGCAAAUUGGUGUAUUGAAUUUGAAGCCAUCAUCCCCAAAUUGGUUUUACUCAGAUGUAGUAGAUGAUCCAUCUAUAUGUGUGUGCGC